rnacentral:rRNA from 1 species
UGGGGAAUAUUGGACAAUGGGGGCAACCCUGAUCCAGCCAUGCCGCGUGUGUGAAGAAGGCCUUUUGGUUGUAAAGCACUUUAAGCGAGGAGGAGGCUACCUGUAUUAAUACUAUAGGCUAGUGGACGUUACUCGCAGAAUAAGCACCGGCUAACUCUGUGCCAGCAGCCGCGGUAAUACAGAGGGUGCGAGCGUUAAUCGGAAUUACUGGGCGUAAAGCGCGCGUAGGCGGUUUGUUAAGUCGGAUGUGAAAUCCCCGGGCUCAACCUGGGAAUUGCAUUCGAUACUGGCAAGCUAGAGUAUGGGAGAGGAAGGUAGAAUUCCAGGUGUAGCGGUGAAAUGCGUAGAGAUCUGGAGGAAUACCGAUGGCGAAGGCAGCCUUCUGGCCUAAUACUGACGCUGAGGUGCGAAAGCAUGGGGAGCAAACAGGAUUAGAUACCCGCGUAGUCCCUGAGCGGGCUGGCAAGGCGCAU